rnacentral:rRNA from 1 species
UGAGGAAUAUUGCGCAAUGGAGGAAACUCUGACGCAGCAACGCCGCGUGGGUGAAGAAGGCUUUCGGGUUGUAAAGCCCUGUCAGGCGGGAAGAAAACUCCGCAGGUGAAUAGUCUGUGGAACUGACGGUACCGCCAAAGGAAGCACCGGCUAACUCCGUGCCAGCAGCCGCGGUAAGACGGAGGGUGCAAGCGUUGUUCGGAAUCACUGGGCGUAAAGCGCGUGUAGGCGGUCCGAUAAGUCGAGUGUGAAAGCCCGAGGCUCAACCUCGGAAGUGCAUUCGAAACUGUCGGGCUUGAGUACGGGAGAGGGAAGUGGAAUUCCUGGUGUAGAGGUGAAAUUCGUAGAUAUCAGGAGGAACACCGGUGGCGAAGGCGGCUUCCUGGACCGAUACUGACGCUGAGACGCGAAAGCGUGGGGAGCAAACAGG